ACAUCCAUUCCCUCAACCACCUCCUGAUCAGUUUUUAAUUCCUCCUCUGCUAAACUGUAAACGACAAAAGAAAAAGAAAGUAUGUGUUACACAGUGUCAUGGUUAUCAUGAAGAGUUCAUUGGUAGACUCAUUUGCUUUAAAAAAAUGAUGGUAGUCAAAAGCAUGUCUGACAGACAUUGAUUCAGUAAUCAAUUGAGCACUGCUGCAUCUUUCAAAAGUGUUAUGUCCCUUUCAGUGAGAGACUGAAGUCACGUAGGUGUUUGCUCCAGCUUUAACCACUUACAAUCUGAAUGGCUAAGGAAAGAUCCACACAUUACAUGAACUGAAAUACAUACAAAUACAAGAUAGAGGUCAACCUGAUGCUUUAAAUGGAGUGUGGCUUUUUUUGUGACUGAUGAUAAAUUUGAAAUAGUACUUAUAAUAAAAGGCAAGAGUAUUGCUAGCAAAUUGCUCUCCUGGAUAAACAGUACUUUGUACUUCCAGCGUCAGUAUUCAGAAGACAUGUUUGAGGUCCCUGUUGGAUUCACUGCAAGGAAAGCUCUUGCAUUAAGGCAGCACCCAGAAACAAUCUGAGGAUAUUGCAAAUUAUUUUCAAUAAAUAUAUACACAUCCCUGAAUCUAUAGCCAUCUGCACAUGAUGAACAGAAACUGGAGUCAAUAUAUAACAGCCUAUCGAAGCAAGUUGUCUUCACAUGAUUUAAACCAUAACACCUAUAAAAAAUCCCAUUAGCUUAUACACUGUGGACUGUGGUCUGAAGGCUUAGUUUUACAUACUCUGAGCCAAUAUGGAUACACACAUUUGAAACAGCUUCUAUCUUCGAUGAGAAAAACCAGCAUCAAUAUGCACCUCUCUCAAUAAGAUCACAUACUGAAACUGCAUCCUGUUCAACUAUGAAAUACUCAUCUGCCUCAUGCAAAGCAAUUGAUUAUCUGUGUAUUACUAGUACAGACUACCUCCAUACUUUAUCUGUCUACCUACCUUUAUGAAGACUAACCUGUGCCACCUACUCUUUCAAUAAAAACCCUACUGCUUUCUGCUACUUGCAUGUUUUGUCAGCUCAAAAAAAUAAAACCAUUCUUAAAAUA